rnacentral:rRNA from 1 species
AUUGAACGCUGGCGGCAGGCCUAACACAUGCAAGUCGAGCGGAGCGGCGGACGGGUGAGUAAUGCCUAGGAAUCUGCCUGGUCGUGGGGGAUAACGUCCGGAAACGGGCGCUAAUACCGCAUACUAUCAGAUGAGCCUAGGUCGGAUUAGCUAGUUGGUGGGGUAAAGGCCUACCAAGGCGACGAUCCGUAACUGGUCUGAGAGGAUGCUCAGUCAAACUGGAACGGAGAACCGGUCCAGACUCUUAGGGGAGUCAGCGGUGGGGAAUAUUGGACAAGGGGCGAAAGCCUGAUCAAGCCAGGCCGCGUGUGUGAAGAAGGUCUUCGGAUUGUAAAGCACUUUAAGUUGGGAGGCGUUACCAACAGAAUAAGCACCGGCUAACUUCGUGCCAGCAGCCGCGGUAUAC